CAGGCAACCUAGAGAACCUAGAGAAGGACCCUGUUCUAGAUACUUCAUUUCACAGGCAACCUAGAGAACCUAGAGAAGGACCCUGUUCUAGAUACUUCAUUUCACAGGUAAAGACACUGAGACCCAGAAAAAUGAUCAUCCUUGUUAUGUAAUGAAAGGCCAAGCUGGUGCCAGAGUCUAGGAACCCCAUUGCUCUGGCCCAUCCUCCUUUCCUAUCCCUGCCCCAGUUUCCUUCCCACCAGUUGAUGCUGCAGGGGCCCUCAACUCCACAGAUAAGCCUAAACUUUGCCCCAAGACAUUGAACUUCUUCCCUUCCUAGACUGGUCUUGUGAAAUAUUCAGAAACAGGAAAUUGGCUUUAUUGAUGACUUUCCUUCCCUUCCCAAUUCAGUUCAGCAAACAAUAAACUGAAACAAGAAUAAAUAAAAUAAAUAGGGAAGAGAAGACAAUAAUAAUCAGAACUAUUUCUUGACUGUGAAAAGACCGUAAUGAAAUAAGGAAAUAAGAUCCCUUAAGAAUUCUAUUGGCCAGGCACAGUGGCUGCUCACACCUACAAUGCCAGCACUUUGGGAGACAGAGUCCAGCACAUUGCUUGAAUGCAGGAGUUUGAGACCAGACUGAGCAACAGGGCAAAACUCUGUUUCCAAAAAAAAAAAUUAGCCUCAGUUAUUCGGGAGGCUGAGGUGGGAGGGUCACCUGGGCCUGGGAGGUCAAGACUGCAGUGAGCAGAGAUCACGCCACUGCACCUCCAGCCAGGGUGACACGGGGAAAUCCUGUCUCAAAAACAAAAACAAAAACAAACAAACAAAAAAGAAUUCCACCAGUGGGUGUUUUCCCCUAUUUUCUAGAUGGAGAAGCAGAAUUGAAGAGGCACUCAGGAAAUGACUGGAGAAAUAUGACCAAUGAUAUAGCAAAUAUACCUACAAUUACUCACAGGAGUCACUAAAGCAGGUUUUACUCCUUUGUAGAUGUCUCUUCCUUGUAGCUCAAAGCAUCAGUUCCUAAUGGCAUAUGUCUUUCUUCUUUCAUCUAAUAUACCAUGAGAAUAAUAACAGUAGUAGUUUCAGAAAUACCGAAUUACAUUUAUGCAAUACUGUAAAAUUUACAAAGUUGAGCAUACGAAUUCAUGUUUGAAAAAAUAUUAAUUCUGAAGAAGUGAUUAGUCAGGUAGGAUGACAGGAUUUGGAAAUGAGGGAGUGAGUAUUGGUCAUAAAUGAACAAAUAUCUCAUUGGGCAUGUUGGAGGUCCUGCUCUUGGAGAAAAGCUGCCAUUCCACACUGCAAUACUCUGGAAUGCCUCAGAACCUUCCUUUGCAAAUUAGAACAGGGAUAGAGGGCAGGGUCAUUCAGAAUUUGGAGCUAAUUAGAUCAUCUAGCCAAUAGGAGAAAUGUUAGAAAGAACGGACACUUUUGUUGUAAUCCUAACUUGCAUCAUGCACUGGUUUUGUGAACAGGCCCAAAGAACUCCUUGAAGGGAACAUGACACAAACCUCAGUGGAAGCUAUUUAGCUCUGUUCCCAGGACCCUGCCAACAGCCUAGUGCCAGCGAAAACUGUCUCUGUCCCCACAAGUCCAGCACUUGGCAGGCGCCACCUGACCCUCUGCCUUGAGUUCAGAAAAGAUUUUUUUAAUUCACAUACUGUAAAAUUCACCUGUUUAAAUUGUACGAUUCAGUGGUUUUAGUAUAUUAACAGAGUUAUAAGACUAUCAUCAUUAUCUAAUUCCAGAACCUUUUUGUCACCUCAAGAAAACCUCAUACCCAUUGGCAAUCACUGCUAAUUCCCUUCCUUCUGCCCUCUGUGCCCUGGCAACCACUCAUCUUUUUGUGUCUACAGAUUUUCCUAUUCUGGACAUUUCAUAUAAAUGGAGUCAUGCAAUAUGUUGUUUUGUGCGUGUGGCUUCUUUCCUUUAAUGUCUUACAGUUUAUUCAUGUUGUAGCUUAUGUCAGUACUUCAUUCUUUUCUACAACUGAGUAAUAGUCCAUUAUAUGCAUAUAGCACCUUUUGUUUACCUCUUCAUCUGUUCAUGCUUUCAGAAGGAUCUUGGUACUAGUCUGAGCUGAACUUGAAAGCUAUAGACAAUGAGUUUUUUUUCCAUCUCCUAACAUAGUAAAAAUUAGUGUUUUAGGAAGAUUACUUUGGUGGGCCCAUAAAGACCAGAUCUACGGUGAGGCAGAGAUGGAGGAUGAUGAAAUUUGGAGCCUCAUUCUAUUAAAUUGGAGAGAAAAGUCAAGGUCACCAAGGGAAUCUUUGUGCAAGAAGCAGACUCAUUCUCAUUCUCUCUCUCCUCUCUCUCUCUCUCUCUCUCUCUCUCUCCCAUCUGUCUCCAGUUCUGACCAUAAAGCCAUAAGGCCACAGGCUUUUAAGAGUGGCUAUCCUGGGGUUGAGGGCCCAGUGGUGGUUGCAACCUUGUCUCAUAUUUCUCCUGGCAGCUCUGUUGAAAAUCAGCCGACCACACUCCUUCCUGGAACAUGCAUCGCUGAGAAUUGCCUCUUGCACAAUUGUCUGCCAAACCCCGUUGUUAAUGAAAUGAAUGAUUUAGUUAUCCUUGUUAGUAAUGGCCCACACUGCACAAAGACCCAUUAUUGCAUCCAUGAGGCUGGCAGGAGUGCCGGCCAAGGCACCUGUGAGCGAUUCUUACAAUUAGCUCUCUUAUCAGCUUGAUUGGAGAGGAGAAGGCUGCCAGUGGCCACAGGGGUGCAGCCUGUCCCCUGCAUGGUCCCCACGAUGCAUCAAGAGCUGGGAGCAUCUAGGGGCAAAAUAAGAAAUGAAGCCAGGACUGAGCUCUUCAUUUGCCAAUUUUGACCUGCAAAGCCUGGGGCCGCUUCCCCCAGCACAGGGGACGGACAGCCUGAAGGACUGUGGGGACAUGCAUCAUGUCAGGUUUCCUUGGGUCCAGGGAGCAGCUCGGCUGGCCGGCAGAUGAGGUACCUUGAAGCAUAUUGGGGUAUCCUAUUAAUAAAACACCUCUCCCCAUCACACACCAUGGCACAGCUCCUCCCCCUCCCUCAACUCCUCUGCCAAAGAGAACAUCUUUCCUUUGCUGGUAAUACUGGGUUUGUGCUCCCCUCCCUCCUCGCUCCCCAGUAGUGGCUGUACAGUACUGCUCCUUCGUUUCCUGUUAGGCCCGAUCUUCCUCUAGUGCUCAUUCCUGCUGCUUUUCAAGGGAAGGGAGAACACGAGCAAGAAAAGUAGACAGAAAUGGGCAUGACUGGAGCAAGUAGAACUGAUCAAGGUAAAUAGAGACAUAAACAGAGAAAGUAAUUUGAAGGACAUUGUGUUAACACACACAAGAAUGUGUACACACACACACACACACUUGCACAUACACAUUUCAUCUUGUCUUCUGGACGAUGACAUUCAGGAAUAAGUUCUUCAGUUUGGGAAAUAGCUGCCCAGAGCUGUGACUGAGAAAUGUGUUUCAGCUUAAAGAGACUAGACUAACAUGUGGUUAAGGGACUCUUGCGAAAUGAGCAGAAUCAAGCGUGCACUGAGUGUGCACAGAGGCAGGUAUUAGAGGCUGUGUAACAGGGUGGGUGGUCUGUGCAUUGACCUGGCUUCACUCCUUUGACUGGUUGUGACUCUGCAUAAGCCAUUCAAUCCACAGCAAAAGAUAGAUGCUUGAAAACUGCUUUCAUACAUACAGAUUUAUUCAUGUUGACAACCUCUGCAUGCCACUCAGUAAAAAUUUCCAGGCUACUUACAAUAAUAGCAAAACAGAAGGAUAAACUAAAUUAUGUCAGAGGAAUAUACUAUGUAAAAAAUAUAAUAAAAUUAAAGAUGAGAUUAACACCUGAAAAUCUCUCUAUUAUGACUUGAGGGCCUACUAAUUUGGCCCUGAGAGGUGUGGCCCUUCCUAAUUUUGACAGUGAGAAAUAUAUCGCCCUGGGUCCUGAUAUAGAGGACCUGUAGAGGCAGAGGGCAGUGCCCUGGAUAACGCCCCUCCAGUGGGGAAAGAAAAGACCCCAUUAUGACCGCUACAUCCCUCUCGGAAGAUGGCAGGGGAGGCCAGCACUCCCGCCAGUACACACCAGAGUAUCGUGGCCCAAAUUAUCCAGCUUCAAUUUCACUGUCUAUACCAGGCAUGUUCAAUGACUUAUAAAAAGCAGUGAUACUCUUCUAGUCCAAUAAAAUCUUGCACAAGCACAGAGAAAACAGGGCGGGUGGGUCAUUGUUUCAGAGGGGGAAGGGCUGACCAUUUUCUUAGGGCCUCUCUUUCCCCACGCAGAGACUGGUGAGGCCUGAUGAGGCACCUUUGCUCUGAAUCCCAAGCAUCUGAAAACCCCUUGUCCCAUCUAGGUGAAAGGAUAGAUAUCAGAAAGGAAGGGGGGAGGGAGGGAAGAAAUAGAGGAAUGAAGGGAAGGAGGAAAGAAUGUUGGUUUUCAUUGCCACUUGCACAGGAUUCUUGUGGGAGCCAGUAGGGAAGUUGCUAUUUUGAAUCGGAUAAAUUGGGGCUUCCUCUUCUUGUUCAUCAAGACCACUCUUUGGCUCAUUUCAUCCCAAUAAAACAAACCACGACACACUAAGAGACUGAAGAGACCGUACAGUGCACUUUUAAGUGUCUGGGCUCCAAACCAAACUGCCUGGGUUUGAAUCCUGGCCCUGCUACUUAUCACUGUGUGAUACUGGACAAGUUACUUAACCUCUCUGUGCCUGUUUUCUCAUCUGCAGAAAUAGGUGCUGAUAGUACCUGCCUCAUGGGAGUAUUGUGAGGAGAAAAUGUGUUAGCAUGGGUACGAUGUUUAGAAUGGCGUUUGCCACAUGGUCUGGGAAUAAAUGUCAGCCGUUAUUAUGUUGUGGGUAUGUAAAUACACUACUCCUUGUAAUGUCAGUUUUUGCCCAUACAAUUUCCAGCCCUCUGCCCUCAGGUGAGCCGGCCUGUCUCAUCUCAGGGCCUCAUGGUGGCUUAGCUCACCCAGCAGUGGGAGCAGGUGGCUGAGCUGCAGCCAGGGUUCUGUGAGCGCGGUGGGUUGAGGAGGGAAAGGAAUGAGGUUCGGAGUCCUUUUGUUGUUUUGCUUGGGUCAGAAGGAAUCUGUGGUAGCAUGCAGUCAUGAUCUUAUUGUACAGCUGCAGGAUGUUGGUAGACAAACUUCUCCCUAAUAUAUAUGAUCUAUAAGCCCAAACGGCCUUUAAUAGGGGGCGGUCACAGGAGGUCAGCGGCCUCCUCCUUCACAGCAGCUAUGUGAUGUGGCUGAGCUCUGAGAAAGAGCACUUGGCUGUGGUGCAACUGGCCUAGAAUUCAUAGCCCCAUUCUCUUGAUCUGAGUUGCUUCUGGGGGAUGAGCGUGGCACCACAGCGUCUCAGGUGCUAUAUAGGGGACUUCCCAAGAGUUGCCCGUAUCAGUUGUAAGGUGCUGUCUACAUGAGGGAAUGGUUUUAUGAAGACACAAGGGAGAGUUACCAGCAGAGUGAUGGCCAAAGCUUUGAGCUAGAUGGUUUUCAUCUUCCUGAAACAUCACCCUAGGGUUUUCCUGAUGUUUCCAUCAAUCUGUUAAGUGCAGUGUGUGGUCGUGUCCCUCAGGGACUUGCCCAUUUACUCUGGAAGACCAAAUUUAUAGGCUACACUCUGGGUGCAGACAGUGCUAGUCCUGUGGGGAGUUGGGAAAAAGGAGUGGGAGGCUUUGUGGCCGAGGAGGGGCUUCAGGGCAGCAAGGAUGACGGCUGGGUUUGAACAGUCAGUGGAGAAGGAAGUGCGGAAAAGCCAGAGAAGUAGACAUGGAUGUGUGCAUGCCAGAGAGGGCAGGCAGACAGGGUUCAUGGAGGGGGCAGAAGCAGCACAUUGACCUCUGCUUCUGCCAGAAGAUCAGAGGGGAUAUCAGGGGGGUGGUCUGGCCAGAGUAAGGGCAGCCUUGAAGCCCCAGUGGAAUAAUUUUGACUUGAUUCUAUGGAAAAUGACAUACGACAGUGUAGGAGGGCUUGUCUUCUAACUGAAACCAGCUGGGAAUCUUUCCCGAUAGUCAAGGGCAGGGCAGAGCGAGGGCCUUUGGCAGCAUGUGCAAAUGUACACGCAUGUGACCACUGUGUGUGGCCCAGCACGCUUCUAAACCUACCUUUACCUCCUCCAGUUCUUCAGAUCUCUUAACCCUCUUGUCUGUGAGCAUCAGCAAUCCGGGGCUUACACAGACAACACCACAGUGUGCCAUCUUGUCAGAAGGAGAAACUGAGGCACUCUAUUCUAAAGAGGCUGGUUCUGGGACCUGCCCUUGAAUCACUGUGGAGUAAGACCCAGAGUGUGGGCUGCCAGGCCCCUUCCUUCAGGGAUCUGGCUUCUAAAGUUGGUUCUUUUCCUGUAUCUCAUAAAGAGGGAAAGGAUGGGCCUAAGAGAGGUUAUUUGAACGAAUGGCCAUUGUAAUUGCCUCCUAUCAGGCACAGGUGGAUAGAGGCAGGUGGGGGGAAGAGGGCUGCCUGGAUCUGGGAUUCCCAAUCCCCCAUACUCCUUGGCCUAUUGUUGAGGGGGAGCUAGAGGAGGGGUGCGGACUUAGCAGAUUAAGAAAGAUAAACGCUUACUCUUUAACAGCGGGAAAGAGGGCCGGAAGAGUACGAUUGAAAUCGGAGGCAAGAGGAGUGGCCUAACCUGGUGGAGGCAGGAGAGGCGCGUGUUCUCUACAUGCCUGUCCAAGUCUCUCGUAGGUUGGUCCGUGCUCUGAGGGAACAGUGUGGGCCACAGGCCAUGGGGACACUCUGAGGAUGUGGGUGCUGCCCAUCUUGAAGUUUCUCCCCACCCCCCUCCGGAGCUGCUACCAUUGUCCUUUGCCCUCGGAGUGCUCUCCUCCCACCCCCGCCGCCUCUUGUUCUCUUUCUCCCUUGGGCCAUUAGAAUGGCAGGGAGCCCAGCCAGGGCCUGGACGGUGGCCUCAGCUCCCUGUUCUCAAUAAUUGUGUGUGUGUGCAUGUGUGCAUGUGUACGUGUGAGUGCCUGUGUAUGUGCAUUGUGUGUAGGGGCUGGGGCUGGGGUCAACAACAGAUCAGAGCACAGGAGUAGAGCGCUUCUGGGAGGGUGGGGUCACCCGUGAGUCACGUCCUGCACCCUGGAGCCCAGAGGACCCUUCGCUCAAACCCACCACCAGCUGGCAACACCGGACCAGCCGGAGCCGCUUUCUUCGCUGCCCAGAGGAGCCUGGGAGAAGCCAGAGGUGUAAGUCAAGCAGUGGAGGGACUGGGUGUGGCUGAGCCCCAUGACAAGUGGGAGGAGACAGGGAUGCUUGGGAGGGGAGGCACCGUGCAUGAGAGAGGAGGGAAAGGGGAAGCGUUCGUGCCUCUCUGCCCCCUGUCCCCCUCUUGCUGCAUAGUAGCCACAUCCAUGUCUCUUGUACCCUGCAAUCUGGAGGCCCCUGCCAGAAGUGGGAAAUCCCAAGUACAGCAGCAAAAGGUAUGAGGAUUGGCACAAAGUUGUGGCCAGUGGAGGCUCCCCAAAGUGCAUGGAAGGUGGUGGUCCAGUGUCUAAAGGCAGGAGUGCUGGGGCAACCCCAUAGCUGGGGGUCCUAUGGGAGAGACUGAGGAACUUCGGUUUGUGGACUCUCAGUCAACUGUGUUACUGAGGAGGGGAAAGGGAAGUAGAUGAGUUGGUGGUUUGAACAAGACCCAAAUCUUGCUUCUACUUACAGGUGCUCACAAUGGCUAGUGCCCUGGAAAAGCUCUGGAAUAAAUACACCUGGGCCUUAGAAAGCAGAGGCAGGAGACAAUGCCAUCCAGUGGGAGCUUUCAUUUGUUUCCUCAGCCAGCCUCUGUGUCAGGCUUUUUGGGAACAAGGGCUGGAUGAACAAGACCUUGGGAGUUCCUGUGGGGAGGGACUGGGGGUGAAUGGGCACUGUGGCUGGCCCGGUGAUCACUUCUCCUCUGCUUGUCUAGGCUUGAGGAUGGAUUCUUGGCUCCUGGUGCAUUGCCACUCCCUGCCACCCUCCUCCUUGUCUUCUAUCUUCUCCUGGUGGCUUCAGGCCUUGCUUCGUGUCCCAACAGGAGCCUCUGGGGCUGGCACAGCCCUCACUGCCUACAACCUGGGCCUGGUGGUUCUCCUGGGGUGCCUCUGGGAGGCGAGGAAUUGGUGUCGGCACUUUAUGAGGAUCGGCUCAUCUAAUCCUCAUGAUAGCACUGUUUGAGGCACAGAGGGGUUAAGUAACUUAGCAGGUGGCAAGGCACAGAGGCAGAGUGCAAACCAGGCACCCUGACUGAAGAGCUUGUAGCCUCCUCCUCCAUCUCUUCCGCCUGUUGGUCAUGGCCACCCCGCUGCUGGCUAACUGCAGCUACUUCUGCCAGCCAGUGGACUACAGAUGGAGCAAGCAUGGAAUGAGGGCAUCUUCCUGGAGACAGGAAGGUAGGCAUUGUGGAAUCAGCGGUGCGUAGAACAGCGAGGAUUUGGGGCUGAACCCAGCCCAGGUGGGACAAGCCGUGGCACCAGCCGGACUGCAGUCUGAUGGAACUUCCCCUUCCUGCACAGCAGAUGGCGAGCGUGUGCUGCUGGUGCCUCUUUCCAAAGGACGUUGACUUGCUUGACAGGUGUUCUUUACUUCAUGAAUGAAGCCGGAGCAGCCCACCUUCCUGCAUCUCUACCACCAUGGCACCAUGCCCUGUGAUGGGUGGGCUGGAGUCAAAUACGUAGCAGGCAGCCAGGAUCAGUUUGUGGCCACUGCUGCCCCCUCUUCCUACAGUCUCCUCACUGAGUGCCCAUUCCCUGUUGGGUUCAAUACAUCUGUGCUCCUGUGAGCCCUUAGCCUCUGCAUUCUCUUCCUCAACUUCUACCACCAGACACACCUGAGAGGCAAGCAAGAGAGGCUGAACCAGGAGCAGGACCCAGGGACUGAAACCAGCAUAGCAUCCCCACAGAGAAUUGGGUGGAAGGCAGUGUGGCUUCCAGCUUACUGGUGCUGAGCAGAUUGCUCUGGGUCUCCAUUGUAUCCUUGGAAGGAAGGAGGAGGAUUGCCUCUGUCCAGAUCUCAGGAUCAAACAAAUAGGUCCAACUUCCUGUGCUCACUUCAGUUAGAGCACUUCUCAUGUGACUUUGUAGCUUUGUGUGCAUCUCCUUCCUCUACUAGACCUAAGCCCCUCACGGGAGGGACUCUCUUAUUCUUGAUGUUCCCCACACCUGGAAUUUCAAUAAACAUCUCAAUAAACGUGUGUGUUUGGAUCCUUGGAUCCCAUGACUGCCGUCAUAACCUUGGUGAAGAAGAGGGCUGGGAGUAGGAAAGAGGUCAAGGUUGGCUUGAUCUCUAACCCUAUAGUGGGAAAUUGUGACGGAGAAUAUUCAAGAGUCGGUGUGGGUCUGUUUGAUUUCAGGUAUAGCUGUGUAAAUAGUUAGCCCUGCAUAUAUUUUUGUCUACUCACAACUGCCUGCAUGUGUAUUCAUAGAGUUGUGUGAUUCUGUGUAUGUGCAUGGGGAGUGGGAGAGGGCCAUGUGUACAUGUCUGAAUACUUGUUUUCAAAUAUACAUGCAUGUUUCCAUUUGGGUUUCUCUCCAUUUGUGUUGUUUGCUGGCCUCUUCUGUAAGUCUCUGAAAGUGCCACAUUGGCAAAUAAAAGCCACUGGGAUGAAUAAUUCUCCUGUCCUGAUGGGAGACAUGGAAGCCCACUGAGAAAUCUCCGAAUACAUGUUCCACUAAGAGCUUCCAAAAAUAAAUGGGAAAAAAGGAGAAAUGGGGACACCCAUCUUCUUCACAGAGAGGGAAACUGAGGACCAGCAAAGGGGAAUAUAUGACUGAGAUACUAUGGCAGAAGCAAAUAUUGGCUGAGCUGUUCAAACCCAGAAUAGGAUGGGUUUCUUGAAAGCAGUUUGCCUGGGAGCUGUCUCUAUGUCUCCAGUAUGAUGAUUUUUCUCCUUUAUAAUUGCUCUUCAGCUGUUUUUGAUCCCUAGGUAAGUUCUUAUUUUGCCAUGCCUCAAUAGUCAAGAAAAUUAAAGAAUUGCUGAAGGUUAUGCAGUGCUAUCUGGGGACUGUGUCUCCAUCUGGCCUUUUAGUUAAUCAACCCAAGGCCAGGCAAGGCUACAUCCUGUGGACAGAAUACUCAGAGAAAAUUCCCUCUAAAUUACUCAGGAUGUGAGCACAUUCCACACCUUUUCCAUGCACUGGUUGAGUGUCUUUGGGCGGGUGGUGGGGGGUGGUGAGGUGCUUAUUUUAAGGCAAACUUUUAUAUUUUUUUAAACACAGGAGUAAGGUUUGUUCAUUUGCUUAGCAGCCAAGGGAAGGGAAAAAUUAGUCACUUCACAGUUUAGUAUUAAUAUUUGCCCAGUUCUUUGUGGCUGCCUCUGCCUGAUAAAGCAGUGCAAAGGGAAAUGAUAUGUUCCAGGUCACGUCUGAAUGGAAUGAGACUUUUGCUGGGGAGAGCCUUUGUGAGGCAGUGUCCCAGAGAGAGUUUGGGGGAAAUUCUCAAUGGACUGAAGGCCCUUCAUUUUUCUAACCUGUACUACUAUGUAACAACUCCAGCUCUGAUAUAGGAGUGCUUUGUAGGUAUUGUUCAUCAGUGUAGGUUGAUUGUGUGAAUAUGAUAAACCAAAGUGGUUUAUAUUUAGCAAAAAUACCAAAGUUCUUAACUAAUAUUGUAGACGUUCAUCUCUAUGAACUGUUUAAGAUAAUGACAAGGAAGGGUGGUGGUAGACAUUUAAGUAUAUAACAUAGCAGGGCUGGGCUACUGCUCAGAGAAAAGGAGCCUCAGAGUACUGGGAGGGAAUGUUCCAGAGACAGAAGUAGGGGGCAGGCCCCCACCCCCUGUCUCCCAUGAGCUUCCAACAACUGAUGGUUUGGGCUCCUGGCUGUCACCUCAUAAAUCAGAGUACAUCUAAUUGAGAGAUAAAAACCAUCUCCCAGUGGCCUUCAUUGUCCUCUUCCUGCUAAAAAUUCUGUGGAGACCUCUCCUCCCCACCCACCCCCAUACAUACUCCACUGUCCACUCAGCUGACCACAUGUCCCCAAGAGCUGCUGCAGCCUGACCAGUCCUCUUGGAGCCAGGAAUCAGAAGAAAAGAUGAUUUGAUUUCCUCCUUUCCUACCCUCCCUUUCUCUUUUUCUUGCAAUUCUCCAUAUACAUGGAGGAACAUCUUUCUAAAGAAGUAAGUGCUUGCUUUUUGUCCUCGGUCCCUGAGUACUCUUUGGGCAAAAUGUUUGUUACAAAGGAAAUGGAGAGCUUUAAUGGGGCUUUUGAAAUUCAAACCCUCCCAAACAGGAUUUAAGGUCGCCCAGUGUGAAAGCUUCAGCUGUUCUGUUAGACGCUGGACAGGGAUAUGUGGUGGGAAGAGGAGGGAAUAGAACACUUAGAAAUAAAAGACCCUGGUUUCAGGAAUCUUGUAUUUUAGUGGGGGUAAGGCAUACAAAGGUGUCUGAAUAAAAUUAGGGAAGAGUGACUUAAACCAGCCAUGCAUAACAGCCAUUAUAAAGUUAGAGACACAUUCGCGAGGGAGGCAGUUCUGGAUUCUCAGAACAUCUGAGCUCAGAAUCUACCUUCGUCCUCUUCCUGGCUGUGGGAGGGAUGCUGGGCAGUUCACAUCAUUUUUUUUUAGUGCAUUUUUCAUGUAUAGAAUCAGGAUAGGAGGUGCAUUUGGCUCUAAUAAAUAUACUUUGGUAGAAUAAUAACA